ensembl:lncRNA novel transcript
AGGGAUCAUUGAUCAUUGCCUGUGAAGAAAUAAUCUUUGUGGACAAGGUGCCUUUUUCCAUAAUUUUUUCUUAUAACCAGCCCUUCUCAUCCAAAGGCCACAAUGAAGUCGAAGAAACCUAUAGAUGACAGCUUUCACAAUCCUUCUCUUGCCUUUUCCUGUACUGACGUAUGUUAGAGAUCUGGCUGGCAGCUUCAAGACACUUGGAAGCAAGAGGGCCACUCUAUUAAGGAUCGCUGAAGUAUGCCCACAUGUCAGGUUUCUCUCAGAUGUG